rnacentral:rRNA from 1 species
AGCAGCCGCGGUAAUUCCAGCUCCAAUAGCGUAUAUUAAAGUUGUUGCAGUUAAAAAGCUCGUAGUUGAAUUUCGGGAUCAAUUAAUCGGUCGUGCCUCUGGUACGCACUGGUUUUAUUGGUUUCUCCCUUCUGACGAACCAGGAUGUCAUUAAUUUGGUGUCUUGGAGAAUCAGGACUGUUACUUUGAAAAAUUAGAGUGUUUAAAGCAGGCUUCUAGGCAUGAAUACAUUAGCAUGGAAUAAUGAAAUAGGACGUUUGAUCCUAUUUUGUUGGUUUCUAGGAUCGACGUAAUGAUUAAUAGGGAUAGUUGGGGGCAUUAGUAUUCAAUUGUCAGAGGUGAAAUUCUUGGAUUUAUUGAAGACUAACUAUUGCGAAAGCAUUUGCCAAGGAUGUUUUCAUUAAUCAAGAACGAAAGUUAGGGGAUCGAAGACGAUCAGAUACCGUCGUAGUCUUAACCAUAAACUAUGCCGACUAGGGAUCGGAUGAUGUUAAAUUUUUUAAUAGUACUNAUU